UACAGAGGGUGCGAGCGUUACUCGGAAUUACUGGGCGUAAAGCGCACGUAGGCGGCUUGGUAUGUCGGGUGUGAAAUCCCCGGGCUCAACCUGGGAACUGCAUUUGUGACUGCAUCGCUAGAGUACGGCAGAGGGGGAUGGAAUUCCGCGUGUAGCAGUGAAAUGCGUAGAUAUGCGGAGGAACACCGAUGGCGAAGGCAAUCCCCUGGGCCUGUACUGACGCUCAUGCACGAAAGCGUGGGGAGCAAACAGG
rnacentral:rRNA from 1 species